AAUAAAAUGGAUUAAUUAUGAACGCUUAACUUACAGUGUUUUUUCUAAAAGUUUGGAGCAUCGCUACGCUGCUAUUAAAAUCAUAUGUCAUUUAAAACGGUUAUUCAUUUUCAAAAGAUAUUUGAAUAAGAAAAUAUGAAAAUCGUAAGCAUUUCAAAACUUUUUGAAUUUUUAAAAUCCAUAAAUGAACGAAGAAGUUGUUAAAAAUUGAAAAUUCCGAUCCCAUACACAAACGAUGUAAAACUAUUUUGUUUUACCCACCACCAGAUAAACAGGUGUUGAUGCGUGACGUCAGGGCGAUCACUCCUAUUAAUUUGCAUUCUUACCUAUAUAGCUUCUAGAUUGUUUUUUUGUAUGUUAAAGGAUAUACUGGGUGUUGUUUUGUCGGGGAAAAAACUUAUAUUAGCUGGUGUUAAAUUGUUUGAUAAACCCGACGUUAUAAAGAUUGUCUUAUCUUAUCUUACAACUGAUCAAACACACCUCCCUAGCUACUGUAAAUGCAUCGAUAAUACAGUUACCGGACGCUUACUGUAGCCACUUCCCAGUUCGAAACUAGGCCAAUUGAUUUAUUUUAAUAUUUCACAUUCGAGAAUCCUCAAUUUAAUGAAGUUGACAUAAUAAACUAGAGCUGUCCAUAAGACAGUCGUGCUCGACUAUUCGACUUAAUAUUUCACAUUCGAGAAUCCUCAAUUUAAUGAACAUAAUAAACUAGAGAUGUCCGUAACACAUUCGUGCUCGACUAUUCGAACCGUUGUCACAGAAGCAGGAAUAUUAAUCUAAUGUUAAAAUAUCAAUAGAGUUUUCUAAGUCCAAAAGGGGGCUUAAUCUGCCCAAAGUACAAGUCAGAGUUGUGAGGCUUUAUGCAAUCAACUAGUUUUAUAACCCCGAAGACAUAAUGUGAAGUUUCAACUCGAUAUCUUACGGUGUUCCGUUUGGACAAUCGUGACUUUUUAUUUAAUACUAAACCGCGAUGCACGAUGGUACGAUGACGAAAACGCGAUGGCGCGAUGGCAUGAUGAUGAAACAACGAUGGUACGAUGGUGAAAACGCGAUGGUACGAUGGUGAAAUGUCGAUGUAAUAUUGCGUUAAUUUAAUUCGUGUUAAUUUGCCCAAAGUACAAGUCAGAGUUGUGAGACUUUAUGCAAUCAACUAUUUUUAGAACCCCGAAGACAUAAUGUGAAGUUUCAACUCGAUAUCUUACGGUGUUCUAUUUGGACAAUCAUGACUUUUUAUUUAAUACUAAACCGCGAUGCACGAUGGUAUGAUGACGAAAACGUGAUGGCACGAUGAUGAAACAACGAUGGCACGAUGAUGAAAUCAUGAUGGUGCGAAGGUGAAAUCUCGAUGUAAUAUCGUGUUUUCAUCAUCGUACCAUCGCGUUUUCACCAUUGUACCAUUGCGUUUUCACCAUCGUACCAUCGCAUGCAAAACUUUAACCAAGGUCACAGUGACGCCGACGCCAGGACGUGGCUAAGUUGGACAUAAUAUGAUUAUCGGACUGAAAUGAAAUGCAAGUGAUAAUUACGUCAGGAGAUAAGCUGCCUGGGACAUGUAUCAAGCUGCUGACAUCAGAGCCCCCAACAUUUGGAGAUGAGCCCCUACCUGUCCACAGGAAAUACACUGAAAGCGGCAAGCCAUCAGAUACAGUCGGCACACCAGUUGCUUGCAGAAAACUAUAUGUCCACAAUAGGCAACAUGCAGCAACCUAGAGCACAACUAUCCAGGGUAACAAACACUUGGCAGACUUGUUGAAAUGCCAUGGCUGUUGUUGGUGGAGGAGCCGACGAGUUAGAAAACAGACUUACAAUACCAGUUUCAGAUGAACUCAGGUGAAUGUCUAAGAAGGUCCUCUAGAAAACUCAGUCACAGGGAACAGGGAAAAUACAAAAGAAAAUAUUCAGGAAGUUUACCAGCAAGCAGGAGUUAGGUCUUUGGUAGGAGAGGAAAACAGGAAGAUUUUUUGUAUUAUCAAUCAGUUAUUAAGCAGUCACUCAAGAUUAAACGCACACUGGUCAAAAAUUGAUCUGACAAAAUCAGCAAUGUGCAGCCAAUGCAAGGUUCCAGAAACAGUACAACAUUACAUUUUUCAUUGUGCCAGAUUUACACAACAGAGAGAGAUACUUGAAAGAGACAUAGAGACAAUACUAAACAGGGAAAACAUUAAUUGUGGUAACAUAUCAAUGGCUACCCUAGUAGGAGAACUGGCUGAUAUCAGGGUUGGGGCAAGGAGAGAACUGAUAGAUGUUUUCAGCCAAAAUAUACAAAAUUCUGGUCGCUUCAGCAGCGAAUCAGAAUAAACUCCUUCCCAAAAGUGACAUAUAUGCAAAUGAGUUUAAUUAAGUACAAAGGAUGACAAUGAUGUUGCAUCACAUUCGCACACGAGUUAACAGCUACACGAUAGCGAACUAGAACAACAACAACAAAAGAAAAGGUAAUUGUUCAAAUUAGGAAGUCAGGCAAAACUAAGGAAGAAUUUUCUAACACAUAAUUUUAGGUUUAAUGAAACAACUGUAAAUUCUUCAAUGGGAAACUUCAGUGUAAAGAUCAAUAUUUUUGAAACAAUGUAAAUUAUCUGCAAAACUAUUAUAUAACCAACACAUGCUUUUAGACAGUACACAAUUGUUUUGAAUCUAAGAAGAACAUAGUCAGCCAAGGUCCAGUCAAUGAAGAGGGAUUUUUCAGUAUUGUAUCAAUUUUAAACACUUGUGUUAUUUUAUAUUUUGUUACACCAAAAUUAAAUGGCUGACAUAGCAAAUUAAGGAAAAUGUUGUCAGAUGUUACAUAAUCUACAAGCAGAUGUACUAAAUACAAUAGAGUUACUAUAACAGUAUCUAGAUCUGGGAUGCUGUAUUCGGCUCGAGUGGAUUUUUGCCAGAUCUGAUCUUGCGAGGCACGCAAGCGCCGAUUGUGAUCCAACCUUGCAAAAUCCAUGAGAGCCGAAUACAAAAUCCCAGAUCUAGCUACUGUUGUAAUGACCCUUUUAUUAUAUACCUCUACCUUUUUGUUUGUUGUUUUAUUAUUGAACGAAAUCUUCAUUGUUUAUCGAUAUUAAAACGUAACUAAGUGAU